rnacentral:rRNA from 1 species
UACGGAGGGGGCGAGCGUUGUUCGGAAUCACUGGGUGUAAAGGGUGCGUAGGCGGUGCGUUAAGUCUGAUGUGAAAGCCCUGGGCUCAACUCAGGAAUGGCAUUGGAAACUGGCGGGCUUGAGUGUGGCAGAGGGGGGUGGAAUUCCGCGUGUAGCAGUGAAAUGCGUAGAGAUGCGGAGGAACACCGAUGGCGAAGGCAGCCCCCUGGGCUAACACUGACGCUCAGGCACGAAAGCGUGGGGAGCAAACAGG